rnacentral:lncRNA from 1 species
GGUUGACAAUUUCGUGACAAAUAUCGGUGAGUGUAUCUUUCUUCCAGCGGGUACGAAGUGCUCCUUCUCCGCCAUCCCCGAAAGAAUAAUAAACAUGUUGCAGUUCGGGCCGUCGGAAAGCUCGAACAUCGUGCAGGUGUUUGGUGGGGUUGAGGUGAAUUAUGUGUCCGGAGUCGCGAUAGCGACUUCCCGAAGAGAAGGGGGGAAAUAUGUUUAUUGUUCUAACCAAAAGAGUGAGAGAGAACUGGGACGAAAGAAAGAGCAGUUGGUUGCAGAUCGUCGAAGCUUUCGGAAGUGAUUCGGACGUGCUCACUUACUACAAUAAGUCGGGCUCUGAUC